GAGUCACUGUGCACCUACUCCCCAUGUAGGAUCUCUGACCUUAAUGUGUUGUACUAUUGGAAUUAAUGAUAAAGAAAAUGCAGCUCAUCACAUUAGCAAAUUCAUGACUAGAGCAAUAUUUCACUAACUCAUCAAUGCCAUUCAGUAAGUGCAAAUAGAGCUCAAGAGAGCAUCUCUUAGUUUGGCAUAAUGAACAUGUAAGUAAUAGAUUUUUAUAAUUUAAGGUGCUUAUUUUCUUUUAAAGUACAUCUAUAAAUAUAGAAAACUAAAAUUGUUCUCACUCUGAUUGAUGUGCAAAUUUUGCAACAGACUUUCAGUUCUUUUUACUUUAUAUGGUCCUUUUAUAGUUCAUGAAUUUUCUCAAAAUCAUCUGACAUGCAAUUAUCAUCCUACUAGGUAACUUUCUUCUAAAGCAAACCUGCUUAAUUAUAGGAAAUAAAUGAUUAAGUAAACACUUCCAGCAUUAUGUAAUCAAAAUGUUCACUUCUUCAUGAUUACGGAGAAUUUUAUUCUGAAUCGUUACAAGUCAAGAGUGCAUCAGUGAAUUAGAAAACAUGGGUGGGUAUUGU